GAUGAACGCUGGCGGCGUGCCUAAUACAUGCAAGUCGAGCGAACGGACGAGAAGCUUGCUUCUCUGAUGUUAGCGGCGGACGGGUGAGUAACACGUGGAUAACCUACCUAUAAGACUGGGAUAACUUCGGGAAACCGGAGCUAAUACCGGAUAAUAUUUUGAACCGCAUGGUUCAAAAGUGAAAGACGGUCUUGCUGUCACUUAUAGAUGGAUCCGCGCUGCAUUAGCUAGUUGGUAAGGUAACGGCUUACCAAGGCAACGAUGCAUAGCCGACCUGAGAGGGUGAUCGGCCACACUGGAACUGAGACACGGUCCAGACUCCUACGGGAGGCAGCAGUAGGGAAUCUUCCGCAAUGGGCGAAAGCCUGACGGAGCAACGCCGCGUGAGUGAUGAAGGUCUUCGGAUCAUAAAACUCUGUUAUUAGGGAAGAACAUAUGUGUAAGUAACUGUGCACAUCUUGACGGUACCUAAUCAGAAAGCCACGGCUAACUACGUGCCAGCAGCCGCGGUAAUACGUAGGUGGCAAGCGUUAUCCGGAAUUAUUGGGCGUAAAGCGCGCGUAGGCGGUUUUUUAAGUCUGAUGUGAAAGCCCACGGCUCAACCGUGGAGGGUCAUUGGAAACUGGAAAACUUGAGUGCAGAAGAGGAAAGUGGAAUUCCAUGUGUAGCGGUGAAAUGCGCAGAGAUAUGGAGGAACACCAGUGGCGAAGGCGACUUUCUGGUCUGUAACUGACGCUGAUGUGCGAAAGCGUGGGGAUCAAACAGGGUUAGAUACCCUGGUAGUCCACGCCGUAAACGAUGAGUGCUAAGUGUUAGGGGGUUUCCGCCCCUUAGUGCUGCAGCUAACGCAUUAAGCACUCCGCCUGGGGAGUACGACCGCAAGGUUGAAACUCAAAGGAAUUGACGGGGACCCGCACAAGCGGUGGAGCAUGUGGUUUAAUUCGAAGCAACGCGAAGAACCUUACCAAAUCUUGACAUCCUUUGACAACUCUAGAGAUAGAGCUUUCCCCUUCGGGGGACAAAGUGACAGGUGGUGCAUGGUUGUCGUCAGCUCGUGUCGUGAGAUGUUGGGUUAAGUCCCGCAACGAGCGCAACCCUUAAGCUUAGUUGCCAUCAUUAAGUUGGGCACUCUAAGUUGACUGCCGGUGACAAACCGGAGGAAGGUGGGGAUGACGUCAAAUCAUCAUGCCCCUUAUGAUUUGGGCUACACACGUGCUACAAUGGACAAUACAAAGGGCAGCGAAACCGCGAGGUCAAGCAAAUCCCAUAAAGUUGUUCUCAGUUCGGAUUGUAGUCUGCAACUCGACUACAUGAAGCUGGAAUCGCUAGUAAUCGUAGAUCAGCAUGCUACGGUGAAUACGUUCCCGGGUCU
rnacentral:rRNA from 1 species